AUUGAACGCUGGCGGCAGGCCUAACACAUGCAAGUCGAACGAGUGGCGGACGGGUGAGUAAUGUCUCGGAACGUGCCUGAUGGAGGGGGAUAACUAUUGGAAACGGUAGCUAAUACCGCAUACCAUUCGAGCUGCCGAGAUGGGAUUAGCUAGUUGGCGGGGUAACGGCCCACCAAGGCGACGAUCACUAGCUGGUCUGAGAGGAUGACCCGCCACACUGGGACUGAGACACGGUCCAGACUCCUACGGGAGGCAGCAGUGGGGAAUAUUGCACAAUGGGCGCAAGCCUGAUGCAGCCAUGCCGCGUGUAUGAAGAAGGCCUUCGGGUUGUAAAGUACUUUCAGCGGGGAGGCGUUACCCGCAGAAGAAGCACCGGCUAACUCCGUGCCAGCAGCCGCGGUAAUUC
rnacentral:rRNA from 1 species